GGAUCGAUGAUGAGAAAACUUGUCUGAGGACGCUGAGGGACUAAUUACAGAUGGCAAUCUGAGGUCC
ensembl:snoRNA